AGAUAGAUACUUGAGUAACAUAUACAUAUACUUGAACUACUUUCCUUGAUAUAACUCCUAUAAAUAUAAUUCAUUCUGAUGCUGAUUUACAUAUUUGAUCUAUAAUCUCAGCCAUAUUUAAUAUUUGCAAGCUGUUGGUAGUGAAGUUUCUGGAUUUAAACAUUUGGAGCUUCUCUUUAAAUUAUUGGUGGGUAUGUUGAGUAGACCAAUCUCCUCCACCUAGCAUCCAUUGCAGACCACCUCCCCCAAGCUGCUGUAAGGUCAAUUCUGAUUUCCUAAAAAAAAAAAAAUAGGUCACAGCGAGGUGCGCUAGUGAGAUGUGGUUUUACAAGAGAAUCAUGGUUACAUUGGACAACCUAGAGAUUCAUAGAGAAGUAUCUUCUCUUGGAAUCUGCUAGAUCCUCCAAUGCAACAGUAUGGAAUUCUGCGACCAGAAGUAAGUUAAUUUAUUCAUACCUGCAGUUUCAGGAAACUGUGUUUCGUCUGGCAUUGUAUCCCUUGCGGAUAUGGGUUCUUACUGUAUAUGUUGGUUCUAGGUUGUUAUACCAAAUAAAAGAAUAGUCGAGAACAUUUUUUAAAAUUGGCUAAUAUAAGGCAUUCAUUCUGUUGCACAGAUAGGCCAGAUAGUAUAGAAUCUGCAUAUUGAACUAAGUGGCGCUUUAGCUUGCUCUUGCAGGGCUUUUCUCAGGGGCGGUGAGUGCAGUGUUGUGAAUCAAUUUAUCAGAUUUGCAACACUUGGGAGCCUUUAGGGAAUGAGAGGAGAGUUUCCAGUCCUUUUGUGUGUACGGUAUGUGUUUAUUUUUCUCUGAAGUAAGCUCUUCAGACAUGGGAACAACUUGAACUGUGUGGAUAAUAUUGAUCUUCAGAGAAUUAAACAGUGGGAUCAUUA